CCUACGGGGGGCUGCAGUGGGGAAUAUUGGGCAAUGGGCGCAAGCCUGACCCAGCAACGCCGCGUGAAGGAAGAAGGCUUUCGGGUUGUUAACUUCCUUUAAGAGGGAAGAGCAGAAGACGGUACCUCUUGAAUAAGCCACGGCUAACUACGUGCCAGCAGCCGCGGUAAUACGUAGGUGGCAAGCGUUGUCCGGAUUUACUGGGUGUAAAGGGCGUGCAGCCGGGAAGAAAAGUGAGAUGGGAAAUCCCGCGGCUCAACCGCGGAACUGCAUUUGAAACUGUUUUUCUUGAGUACCGGAGAGGUCAUCGGAAUUCCUGGUGUAGUGGUGAAAUGCGUAGAUAUAAGGAAGAACACCAGUGGCGAAGGCGGAUGACUGGACGGCAACUGACGCUGAGGAGCGAAAGCGUGGGUAGCAAACAGGAUUAGAUACCCUUGUAGUC
rnacentral:rRNA from 1 species